GUAGGUAUAGCUCAGUGGUAGAGUGCGUGCUUAGCAUGCACAAGGUCCUGGGUUCAAUCCCCAGUACCUCCA
rnacentral:tRNA from 1 species